AAAAUGCGAUACUUGGUGUGAAUUGCAGAAUCCCGUGAACCAUCGAGUUUUUGAACGCAAGUUGCGCCCGAAGCCAUCCGGCUGAGGGCACGCCUGCCUGGGCGUCACGCAUCGCGUCGCUCCCCACCAUACCUCCCCAACGGGUUGGCAUGGUGUUGGGGGCGGAUAAUGGCCUCCCGUGCUUGUGUUUCGGUUGGCCUAAAUAAGAGUUCCCUUCGGCGGACACACGACUAGUGGUGGUUGAAUAGACCCUCGUCUUUUGUUGCGUGUCGUGAGCUGUAAGUGUAGCCCUCAUCAAAGACCCCAUUGUAUCGUCUUCGGAUGAUGCUUCGACCGCGACCCCAGGUCAGGCGGGACUACCCGCUGAGUUUAAGC
rnacentral:misc_RNA from 1 species